CCCGCUGAACUUAAGCAUAUCAAUAAGCGGAGGAAAAGAAACCAACAGGGAUUGCCUCAGUAACGGCGAGUGAAGCGGCAACAGCUCAAAUUUGAAAGCUGGCUCCUUCGGGGCCCGCGUUGUAAUUUGUAGAGGAUGCUUCGGGCGCGGCGCCGGUCUAAGUUCUCUGGAACGAGACGUCAUAGAGGGUGAGAAUCCCGUAUGUGACUGGCUGCCUGUGCCCAUGUGAAGCUCCUUCGACGAGUCGAGUUGUUUGGGAAUGCAGCUCAAAAUGGGAGGUGUACUCCUUCUAAAGCUAAAUAUUGGCCAGAGACCGAUAGCGCACAAGUAGAGUGAUCGAAAGAUGAAAAGCACUUUGGAAAGAGAGUUAAACAGUACGUGAAAUUGUUGAAAGGGAAGCGCUUGCAAUCAGACUUGCGCGGCGUCGAUCAGCCUGGGUUCUCCCUGGUGCACUCGGCGCCGCUCAGGCCAGCAUCAGUUUCGGCGGUGGGAUAAAGGCCUAGGGAACGUGGGUCCCCUCGGGGACCGUUAUAGCCCUAGGUGCAAUGCCGCCUGCCGGGACUGAGGACCGCGCUUCGGCUAGGAUGCUGGCGUAAUGGUUGUAAGCGACCCGUCUUGAAACACGG
rnacentral:rRNA from 1 species